GCGGUACGCGAGCUGGGUUUAGAACGUCGUGAGACAGUUCGGUCCCUAUCCUCUGCAGCCGGAAGAGACUUGAGGAAAGCUGUCCCUAGUACGAGAGGACCGGGACGGACGCAGCUCUCGUGUGCCAGUUGUUCCGCCAGGAGCAUGGCUGGUUGGCGACCUGCGGAAGGGAUAACCGCUGAAAGCAUCUAAGCGGGAAGCCUGUUCCGAGAUGAGGUCUCUCACCGGGUAACCGGGUAAGGCCCGUGGCAGAACACCACGUUGAUAGGCCGGAAGUGUACGCACGGUGACGUGUUCAGCUGACCGGUACUAAUCGGCCGAGGGCUUGGUUCA
rnacentral:rRNA from 1 species